GCCCUAAGCCUUCCAUGAAGCAAGCUGUCCAUACUCUCGCUAUAUAGGUACUCUAGUAUUUAUUAUCAAGAAAGUAAAUACUGUAAUUUGAAAUAAUUUUUUUCAUUUUUACUUAUAGUUGUUUUGAUGAAUAUGCCACUGAAGUAAAAUGUGGGUGACUAGAGUGGUCUCCAGUCCAUCGGUCUGCUCAGUUCUGGAGAGAAAAUGCAGCACGUUUGAAUGAGCGCAACUAUGAGCUACUUUGCCGUCUGGUCUUUUUACUUGAUAUUUCCAAGGAUGCUUUGGUGUUCAGCGUUGCAUCCUUUGAUGUUGUGUCAUUGAACAGUUAGGAGGAAAACAACUUGUGAUGCAACUUUUAUUUCACGAAGAUCCCAAUGUUCGUUACGAAGUUCUGUUGGCUGUUCAAAAGUGAAUGGUUCUCAACUGGGAGUAUCUAGGACGCCAGCUGGAAAAAUAGCAAGGAUCAACAACUCCUACAGCAAAAUCUGCAGCUGGAGUACUCGCUGGUAAAAUAUCAUAAGAUUAUCUGGAAGAAGUUGACUCCCAAUAGUGGAGAGGAACAAAUGCUGCUGUUAUUUGGUGUCAAUAAAUUCUGGUGCCCUUUUAAUUCUUUCUUGAGAAUGAUUUUUCCUCAGAAGAGACUCAUGCUGAUAUCUUGGCAACUAGUUAUGUAUUAAAAAAGUAUGAUGGUAGCAUUUUCUCAACUCAUUUAAUGAAAGUAAAUUUUCCAGAUUUGUUGUUUUAAAUAAAGUCAUCCAUGAAGCAUGAGCUGAAAUUCGCUUUAGCUGUAAUUAAACAGUGGCGUGAAGGUGUAAUCAAAGCCUCUAAAAACAUCGUAAAUGUCUCUCCAAUGGACGCUUAAUUUAAGUACAUGCUUAAACAAUUUUGUUAAUUUAUGAAUUGGUUGGAACUCAAACAAUUUACCAUUCCCCAUUUUGAGUAUAUUUGAAUCGGCUCGUGCGAAAACCACUAAUGUCCAUUUUUUUCAAUUUUGAGAUUUUUGGGUUAAAAUAAUCUCGGAGGUCAGACACACUUAUUAAUGUGUUGAAAAUGUUUGUUCCUUAGGUUUGAAGCCCUUUUCAGGGGGGCCGUGGUCCGAAUCAUGCGAAAACCGCUAAUGUCCAUCUUUCGUUAUAUGCCUCAUUAUACUGUACAACACACCAAAGUAAAAAAAUGUCUCCUGGACGAAAUUAGGUGAUCUUUAUGCAUUUUAAUGCGCUGAAUCCGAAUAUGACCUCCGUUGUUUUCCAUCUCCCUCCAAUUUUCCGGGAAAGCCGAUUUUACUAGGAAAAAUGACAAUUUUGGGGCAUUUUCAGUGUUUUUCCGACUGCUAUCCCGUGCAUAAUGUAGGUAAAAUUUUUCGUAGCCACGAGAUUCAAUUA
rnacentral:lncRNA from 1 species